AGAGUUUGAUCAUGGCUCAGGAUGAACGCUGGCGGUCUGCUUAACACAUGCAAGUCGAACGGAGUAGAAAUACUUAGUGGCGGACGGGUGAGUAACGCGUGAGAAUCUGCCUUCAGGACGGAGACAACAGUUGGAAACGACUGCUAAGCCCCGAUGAACCGAAAGGGAAAAUAUUUAUAGCCUGAAGAUGAGCUCGCGUCCGAUUAGCUAGUUGGCGGAGUAAAAGCCCACCAAGGCGACGAUCGGUAGCUGGUCUGAGAGGACGAUCAGCCACACUGGGACUGAGACACGGCCCAGACUCCUACGGGAGGCAGCAGUGGGGAAUUUUCCGCAAUGGGCGAAAGCCUGACGGAGCAAGACCGCGUGGGGGAAGAAGGCUCUUGGGUUGUAAACCCCUUUUCUCUGGGAAGAAAGUUGUGAAAGCAACCUGACGGUACCAGAGGAAUCAGCAUCGGCUAACUCCGUGCCAGCAGCCGCGGUAAUACGGAGGGGGCAAGCGUUGUUCGGAUUUACUGGGCGUAAAGGGCGCGUAGGCGGUCGUUCAAGUCACUUGUGAAAUCUCUGAGCUUAACUCAGAACGGCCAAGUGAUACUGAGUGACUAGAGUGCAGAAGGGGCAACUGGAAUUCUUGGUGUAGCGGUGAAAUGCGUAGAGAUCGGGAAGAACAUCGGUGGCGAAAGCGCUCUACUGGACGGUGACUGACACUCAGGGACGAAAGCUAGGGGAGCGAAUGGGAUUAGAUACCCCCGUAGUCC
rnacentral:rRNA from 1 species